rnacentral:rRNA from 1 species
GGGUGCGUAACGCGUAUGCAACCUACCUUUAACAGGGGCAUAACACUGAGAAAUUGGUACUAAUUCCCCAUAACAUUCGAGAAGGCAUCUUCUUGGGUUAAAAACUCCGGUGGUUAAAGAUGGGCAUGCGUUGUAUUAGCUAGUUGGUGAGGUAACGGCUCACCAAGGCAACGAUACAUAGGGGGACUGAGAGGUUAACCCCCCACAUUGGUACUGAGACACGGACCAAACUCCUACGGGAGGCAGCAGUGAGGAAUAUUGGUCAAUGGACGCAAGUCUGAACCAGCCAUGCCGCGUGCAGGAAGACGGCUCUAUGAGUUGUAAACUGCUUUUGUACUAGGGUAAACGCUUCUACGUGUAGGAGCCUGAAAGUAUAGUACGAAUAAGGAUCGGCUAACUCCGUGCCAGCAGCCGCGGUAAUACGGAGGAUCCAAGCGUUAUCCGGAUUUAUUGGGUUUAAAGGGUGCGUAGGCGGUUUGAUAAGUUAGAGGUGAAAUACCGGGGCUCAACUCCGGAACUGCCUCUAAUACUGUUGAACUAGAGAGUAGUUGCGGUAGGCGGAAUGUAUGGUGUAGCGGUGAAAUGCUUAGAGAUCAUACAGAACACCGAUUGCGAAGGCAGCUUACCAAACUAUAUCUGACGUUGAGGCACGAAAGCGUGGGGAGCAAACAGGAUUAGAUACCCUGGUAGUCCACGCAGUAAACGAUGAUAACUCGUUGUCGGCGAUAC